CAUCUGAGAUGACCACAGGCAAGCCAUCUGAGAUGACCACAGGUGAGCCUUCAGGAGUCUACACCACAGGCAAGCCUUCUGAGAAGACCACAGGCAAGCCAUCUGAGA